rnacentral:rRNA from 1 species
UAAUUUAUCUUUUAAUUAAGAUUAUUAGAAAUUUAUUUUUUAGUUAUGAUUGGGGUGAUUUUAAAAGAUUAUUAAUCUUUAAAAUUUUUUAAUAAAAAAGUUCCAUUAGUAGUGAUUUUUUGAUAAAAAUACUCUAGGGAUAACAGCGUUAUUAUUUUGGAUAGUUCAUAUAGAUAAAAUAGUUUGCGACCUCGAUGUUGGAUUAGGAUUCUUUUAUGAUGAAGAAGUUAUAAGGGAGAAGUUUGCUCAACUUUUAAAGUCCUACUUGAUCUGAGUUCAGACCGGG